GAAGAGGCGUGGCCAGGAUGGUGACCUGCUGUUUCUCCAACUCCCGGACUUUACUCUCCAGUUUGGCCAUAGUCUGCCGAAUUGUCUGCACCUAGGAAGGAUCACCAAGAGGGCUGAAGACUUAAGUGUCACUCUAGUCCGCCCUACUCCUCGGUUCUCCUGACCCUUACCUUCUGGAAGAACUCGUCGUCCGGGCUGCCCAACCGGGCAGCACCUGAGUGCACCACCAGCGCGACUCGAACCUCAUCUUCAUCGUCUGAGAUGUUAUCCCCCUGCCAGGGCCGGAGUCAUUGGCGACAGUUGCUCGCUGCGGUUCUCGCCCCGCAGGAACCAUGGGCUUCCGGGAUUUUCCUUCCUGGCCAUCAGCCACCCGCCCGGGACCCAAAACCAGGAGUCCUCACUCCAGCGCGCCCGCCCGGCCCCGCUUCUCCUCACUCCAGGGUGUCCUCACCAUCCCGGUUUCUCACCUGCCUCAACUCGUGGGUCCUGUCGCGCAUGGUGGUCGGAGUGCCCUGGACCCGAGCCCAAAGGGCCUCAAGGUUCUAAAUUUGGAAGUCCUGCACCUCUCUCACACUUGACACCCCCUCCCUCACCCAGCGAACUCCAGUACACCCCGGAGCCGCCAAAGGCCCCACCCCUUUCACCAUCCACAGUCGUGGGGAAGAACCCGAUCAUAGGACCCCCAAAGUUCUACAGGUUGGAAUUCCCUUCUCUUCCCCCCAUCCUGCUCCCGCAGCUGCCGCCCCGCCCCUCGGGGGAUGACUCCGAGCAUGCGCGCGAGGGCUCGGCUCGUCCUCGCUAGAGGGAAAGGCGGAGGUCGGAAGCAGUGGCAGCCGAACGGAAGCGAGGCUGCCUGAGUCCAGAGCCCGCCCCGCUGCUCCCCCCCCCCCCACUACCGGAACAUCUCAUAUUGGAGCCGAGAUCUAGUUGCCCAAAGGGUUGGGAAUGCGUCAUUUGCACGCAGUCUGAGAGCCUCGUAUCUCACAUCACCCCAUGGCGCCCCCUCAUCACGUGACAGGCCGGGCCCAGCUCCGCGGGCUGCACGCCCGACCGCCAGUCAUGUGUUCCGGCCUGUCAGCGACGUCUCGGGCUUCAGUCUCGCGACGUCCCCGACACCCCAGCGUCUGAGCUGUGCCCCAACAGCUUCUUCGAGGUGGGGAAGGGUACACUGCCUACUCUCAGCCACCUACUAAGGAUGCUCUGUAGAAUUCACUUUUUUGUUGUUUUAAUUUUGGGUCCUCGGGCGUGGGCAAAGUGAAGACUUGCAUUUGGGGCUGUCAGUAUCAUGAGACCUUGGAAAUCAGGAAAUAAUAAGACCCGAGUCUCCAGCGUCAGGGAAUUGCAGGGUUUUGUAGGCAGAGAAUCUGGGGGUGGGAAGUGACCUCAGCCAAGGUGGCGCUCCCCCCGCUGCUCCCCCGCGUCCUCCUGGCACAGCCUCUGACAGGUGGGCGGCCUAUGCCCCGAGUGAGCAUUGCAGUCCCGCUGAGCUCGCUACCUUCUGAGCAGCACGACAAUUCCAGAGCAGCUCAGACUGAGAAAAAUGUACUGUUACCUCCGCAGCCCUGCCUUACAGCUGACGUCUCAGCAUGACUUGCUUUUCUUUAACGGAAUCCCCAACACCAAAUUCGGUAGCUGCCACAUAGCAGUCCUGCAUAGAAGAUUUGAUCCGAAUAGUAGCCUUUCCUGUAUUUGAAACUAAAGCCCGUGGCUUCCUGAUCUUCUUU
rnacentral:lncRNA from 1 species